rnacentral:rRNA from 1 species
UACGAAGGGGGCUAGCGUUGCUCGGAAUCACUGGGCGUAAAGGGUGCGUAGGCGGGUCUUUAAGUCAGAGGUGAAAUCCUGGAGCUCAACUCCAGAACUGCCUUUGAUACUGAGGAUCUUGAGUUCGGGAGAGGUGAGUGGAACUGCGAGUGUAGAGGUGAAAUUCGUAGAUAUUCGCAGGAACACCAGUGGCGAAGGCAGCUCGCUGGGACGGUACUGACGCUGAGGCGCGAAAGCGUGGGGAGCAAACAGG